rnacentral:misc_RNA from 1 species
UCUCACGCCUUUAAUAACACUGACUGUCACUAAUUUGGCAACUGGAGAAAAACUAUCUGUGUAAUCCAAGUCCAGUAGUUGAUUAUAGCCCUUUGCGACAAGCCUUGCCUUGUACCUGUCCACCUUUCCAUCAGGUAAAUAUUUCACUUUAUACACCCAUUUACAGCCUAUAGGCUUCUUUCCUGCUGGUAAUGUUGUAAGCUGCCAAGUUUGGUUAGCCUCUAAAGCAUUUAAUUCAUUUUGCGUAGCAUUUAUCCAAUUAUUGUCAUGUUUUGCAUGAUCAUAAGAAAAGGGUUCUGAAAUUUUUGACACAUAGGCAACAAAAUUGAGAUGUGAGGGAUGAAAUGUAAUAGAAGAAAUACCUGGAUGAUUUGCCGAAGUGAUGAAGUCAAAAUCAUUGCUUGUAUGGAGUGAUUCGGUUUGCUGGACUACAGCAGCAAAGUCUUGCAACCAAGCAGCUUUGGUGAUCAUUCUUUGACUUCUUCUUGGUGGAGGUGUUGGAACUGACACAUCUGAUGACAUAUGGGAUGGAUGCACAGACACAAUAGGUUGGAGAGGACUAGAAGAAAUUGGUUGUGAUGGAGUAGCUGGUGAAGAAGUGGAAUCAUUGUUAAGGUCAAAACAAGAAGGUAGUGGGAUUAAAGAAUUACCAGGAUGGUGUGUAUGAAGAAAUGGGAAAAUAGAUUCAUAAAACACUACAUCCCUGGAGCUGAAAAUUUUCUUGGACUGCAAAGCAUACAACUUGUAGGCUUUACGUUGAGGAGCAUAGCAUAAUAAGACACAAGGGAUGGCUCUAGGAUCAAAUUUAGUUUUGUGAGGGAAUGCGUUUGUGGCAUAGCAUAGACAACCUGCAACUCUAAAGUAAGAAUAAUCUGGGUUUUUACCAUAUAAUAUUGUAUAUGGUGUUUUCCAGUUUAAAACCUCAGUGGGUAGUCUAUUAAUAAUGUGGGUUGCUGUUAAGAUAGCUUCUGACCAAAAAUGUCUAGGGAAAUUGGCUUGAAACAUGAUGGAUCUAGCUACUUUCAAAGGUGUUUGUGUUUUCUUUCCACAACACCAUUUUGCUGUGGACUGUACACACGACUUCUGGUGAAUAAUUCCUUGAGAAAGAACAAUCUGAUGGCAAGUCUGUUUCAGAAACUCUGUGCCAUUGUCAGUCCUUAUUCUCUUAACUGUUUAGUGAAAUUGAGUUUGAGACAUGAGGGAAAAAAUGUGACAAAACAGAGGGGACUUGAGUUUUAGUAGUAAUCAAAUAAGUCCAGGUAUAUCUGCUACAGUCAUCAACUAUUGUGACUACAAAAGUUGCACCACUUAUAGAAGGAACCCUAUAGGGACCCCACAAAUCAACAUGAAUGAGUUCAAACACUCCAACAGUUGAAAUGCUACUGAUAGAAAAGGGAAUUCUUUGUUGUUUAGACAAGGUAGAGAUGGUGCAAACCUGAUCUGUCAUUUUGUUCAAUUUUAUUACAGAUAUACGAUUCAACUUGGUGUUUGAGGCAUGGCCUAGCCUAUAAUGCCAAAUGACAGAAUUGUCUAAAUAUUGACCAUUACAGGAGGCAUGACAAAUCUGAACAAAAGGAACAGAUACUGAGCUUAGAUCUAAUAUAUACAAUCCAGCUUGAAUUUUUCCGACAGCAAUGACUUCAUUACUCUGCAUAUCCUGCAACAAACACUUGUCAGGGGAAAAGGUUAUUGAUAUAUUUGAGGUUUUGGCAAGGGUACUAACAGACAACAGGUUGCAUGUGAAGUUUGGAACAUGUAAAACAUUUAUUAAAGCAAUUUUUUGGGUUUAAAAUAACAUGUCCUGCAUAUUUCACAUUUUUAUAAGAUCCAUCAGGCAAGUGUACAGGUCUGGGUUUGGAAAUGGAUGUAAUCUGGUCUAAAAAUAAAGUUUAGAACACACAUGGUUAGUUGCCCCUGUGUCAAUAAUCCAUGUGCCUUUAUCCUUAACAUUCAUACUAACAAGACUUGAAUUAGACAACUGACCUGCACAAUCUGCAGCAUUUGCAUAAGAAGUUUCAGCUGCAUUGGCUUUGCCCUUCAUGAUCUUCAUUACCUCCUGUUGAACAAGAUUAGGCAAACUAGCAGCCGAUUCAUCAUACUUGCUUGGAGCCUCAACCUCCAAAGGAGUGUCAGCAUCAUGAGAAACAACAUUAGCCUGCAACCUUCCUUUCUUCUGUUUGAAAUCUUUAUGCCAUUCCGGAUAGCCAAAGAGCUUGAAGCAAGAUUCUCUAACAUGGCCCCCAACAUUACAAAAGGUACAGAAUCUUUCGUCCCUUUUACUGUAAUCUUUCUUCUUAAAACCAGAUUUAAAAUCUCCCAUACCAGUAUCGUUGCAAUGAUUCUGUGAUUUUGCAAACAUCACAGCUGUAGUUUCACUUGACUCAACAAUCACAUUUUGAACCUGCCUUUAUUUCUCAAUGCUAAGUGCCAUUGAGUAAGCUUUGUUAACAUUAGGCAAUGGAUCCAUUAUCAAGAUCUGGUUCUUAACAGUAUCGUAACUUUCAUGAAGUCCCAUCAGGACUUGCAUAAGCCUAUCUUCAUUUUCAAUAUCAGCUACUGCUUUAGAUGCUCCAUAUGUGCAGGCAGGGAAGGGAUGCAAACAGGACAAUUCAUCCCAUUUCUUCUUCGGUUUAGUGAAAUAAACCAUCAGAGACAUAUUUCCCUGACUAAGAGUGCAUAUAUAUCUCUUUGUUUGAAACAGAAGUGGACCAUUACUGUUCCCAAAAUGCUGCUUUAAUUCUUCCCAAAGGUCUUUUGCACAGGUUGUAUGCAAAAAAAGCCUCAACAAUUUAUUUUGAAAUCGAAUUCAAAAUCCAAGAGAUUACCAUACUAUCCACCCUUUGAUAUUUCUCACAGUUGGGUGAAUCAACAGAAGGCAUUUUACACUUUCCGUUAAUGAAACCCAGCUUAUCCUUGGCUCUAAGAGCUAUGAUCAUUGAAUGACUCCAAGAAAGAUAGUUUCCACCAGUUAAUAAGACACUUACCAGACUCAGAUUUGGACGAUCUGAAUUCUGGAGAUGCAAAGGAUCGUUACUCAGAUCUGCAGCUUUCGUAUCAGAACUUUCUGCUGUAGAAUCAGUAAUCAGAGUUUAGGCUGUGAGCUUUGAUGCCAUGAAAACCAGGCUAAAAAGAGCAAGAAAAUAAAGACUAAUAACGCAGAAAUUGAGUAAGAGAAUAAGAAAAAUGAUUCUCGUAUAUCUUGUACAGGAGAGAGUGAUACAAUUUAUAUACAAAUAAAAGAAUAACUGCCUCUGGACACCUGUACAUUCUACUAGCUACCUGUACAUUCUAGAAUACAGCUAUACUAACAAAAUUCUAACAAACCAGCCAGCUCAGCUAAAAAUUUUUCCUCCUUAUCUCUUCAGCUAGCUUGCUAGUAUAUAUUUACAAAACUAUUCAUGUUACUGUUCUAUAGGGUGUAAACAUCA